rnacentral:rRNA from 1 species
CCCUUUGAUACUCUGGGCGGCACGCGCGCUACAAUGGAUAACAAAACGUGUUACAUAUCUGAAAAGUUAUGUGAAUCACAAAUGUUAAGUCUUGAGUGGGAUAGUUUACUGCAAUUAUAGACUUGAACGAGGAAUCCCUUGUAAAUUCACUGAAGCAUAGUGAAUUGAAUACGUCCCUGCCGUUUGUACACACCGCCCGUCGUUUCUUUCGACUGAUACUCAUUGUGAAUUGCGGGGAGAUUUCGAUUAAACCGUUGUGAAUGCUGGGUAUUGGAGAAAGAAAAANUCGUAACA